rnacentral:rRNA from 1 species
CCUACGGGGGGCUGCAGUCGAGAAUCUUCCGCAAUGGGCGAAAGCCUGACGGAGCAAUGCCGCGUGCAGGAUGAAGGCCUUCGGGUCGUAAACUGCUGUCACCGGGGAUGAAUAAUGACAGUACCCGGGGAGGAAGUCACGGCUAACUACGGGCCAGCAGCCGCGGUAAUACGUAGGUGAAGAGCGUUGUUCGGAAUUAUUGGGCGUAAAGGGUUCGUAGGAUGUUUAUUAAGAUUGGUGUGAAAUCCCAAGGCUCAACCUUGGAACUGCAUUGAUUACUGAUGAACUAGAGUGUCGUAGAGGAAAGCGGAAUUCCAGGUGUAGCGGUGGAAUGCGUAGAUAUCUGGAAGAACACCGACAGCGAAGGCAGCUUUCUGGGCGAUAACUGACUCUGAGGAACGAAAGCAUGGGGAGCAAACAGGAUUAGAUACCCGGGUAGUC